UGCCAGACUCCUACGGGAGGCAGCAGUGAGGAAUAUUGGUCAAUGGGCGGGAGCCUGAACCAGCCAAGUCGCGUGAGGGAAGACGGUCCUACGGAUUGUAAACCUCUUUUGCCGGGGAGCAACGGGGUCCUUGCGAGGGCCCAAUGAGAGUACCCGGAGAAAAAGCAUCGGCUAACUCCGUGCCAGCAGCCGCGGUAAUACGGGGGAUGCAAGCGUUAUCCGGAUUUAUUGGGUUUAAAGGGUGCGUAGGCUGUGAGGUAAGUCAGCGGUGAAAUGCCCCCGCUCAACGGGGUGAAGUGCCAUUGAUACUGCCUUGCUGGAAUGCGGAUGCCGUGGGAGGAAUGUGUGGUGUAGCGGUGAAAUGCAUAGAUAUCACACAGAACACCGAUUGCGAAGGCAUCUCACGAAUCCGCGAUUGACGCUGAUGCACGAAAGCGUGGGUAUCAAACAGGAUUAGAUACCCUAGUAU
rnacentral:rRNA from 1 species